rnacentral:rRNA from 1 species
CCGGAGCUUGCUCCACCGGAAAAAGAAGAGUGGCGAACGGGUGAGUAACACGUGGGUAACCUGCCCAUCAGAAGGGGAUAACACUUGGAAACAGGUGCUAAUACCGUAUAACAAUCGAAACCGCAUGGUUUUGAUUUGAAAGGCGCUUUCGGGUGUCGCUGAUGGAUGGACCCGCGGUGCAUUAGCUAGUUGGUGAGGUAACGGCUCACCAAGGCCACGAUGCAUAGCCGACCUGAGAGGGUGAUCGGCCACAUUGGGACUGAGACACGGCCCAAACUCCUACGGGAGGCAGCAGUAGGGAAUCUUCGGCAAUGGACGAAAGUCUGACCGAGCAACGCCGCGUGAGUGAAGAAGGUUUUCGGAUCGUAAAACUCUGUUGUUAGAGAAGAACAAGGAUGAGAGUAACUGUUCAUCCCUUGACGGUAUCUAACCAGAAAGCCACGGCUAACUACGUGCCAGCAGCCGCGGUAAUACGUAGGUGGCAAGCGUUGUCCGGAUUUAUUGGGCGUAAAGCGAGCGCAGGCGGUUUCUUAAGUCUGAUGUGAAAGCCCCCGGCUCAACCGGGGAGGGUCAUUGGAAACUGGGAGACUUGAGUGCAGAAGAGGAGAGUGGAAUUCCAUGUGUAGCGGUGAAAUGCGUAGAUAUAUGGAGGAACACCAGUGGCGAAGGCGGCUCUCUGGUCUGUAACUGACGCUGAGGCUCGAAAGCGUGGGGAGCAAACAGGAUUAGAUACCCUGGUAGUCCACGCCGUAAACGAUGAGUGCUAAGUGUUGGAGGGUUUCCGCCCUUCAGUGCUGCAGCUAACGCAUUAAGCACUCCGCCUGGGGAGUACGACCGCAAGGUUGAAACUCAAAGGAA